CUUCCGUAAGGGGAACCUGCGGAAGGAUCAUUAGUGAUUGCCUUUUGGCUAUAACUAUAUCCAUCUACACCCGUGAACUGUUUGAUUGAAUCAUUUGAUUCAAUUAUUUACAAACAUUGUGUAAUGAACGUCAUUAGAUCGUAACAUGAAAAAACUUUCAACAACGGAUCUCUUGGCUCUCGCAUCGAUGAAGAACGCAGCGAAUUGCGAUAAGUAAUGUGAAUUGCAGAAUUCAGUGAAUCAUCGAAUCUUUGAACGCAACUUGCGCUCUCUGGUAUUCCGGAGAGCAUGCCUGUUUGAGUGUCAUGAAAUCUCAACCAUUAGGGUUUCUUAAUGGCUUGGAUUUGGAGGUUUGCCAGUCUAACUGGCUCCUCUUAAAGGAGUUAGCAAGUUUGACUAUUGCUAUCUGGCGUAAUAAGUUUCGCUGGAAUGGUAUUGUGAAGCGUGCUUCUAAUCGUCUUCUGGACAAUUUUUUUUUGACUCUGGCCUCAAAUCAGGUAGGACUACCCGCUGAACUUAAGCAUAUCAAUAAGCGGAGGAA
rnacentral:rRNA from 1 species